GCAGGUAGCCUAGUGGUUAGAGGGGUGGCAGGUAGCCUAGUGGUUAGAGCAGGUAGCAGGUAGCCUAGUGGUUAGAGGGGUGGCAGGUAGCCUAGUGGUUAGAGGGGUGGCAGGUAGCCUAGUGGUUAGAGCAGGUAGCAGGUAGCCUAGUGGUUAGAGCAGGUAGCAGGUAGCCUAGUGGUUAGAGCAGGUAGCAGGUAGCCUAGUGGUUAGAGGGGCGGCAGGUAGCCUAGUGGUUAGAGGGGCGGCAGGUAGCCUAGUGGUUAGAGCAGGUAGCCUAGUGGUUAGAGCAGGUAGCAGGUAGCCUAGUGGUUAGGGGGGUGGCAGGUAGCCUAGUGGU
rnacentral:lncRNA from 1 species